AAGCAAUGAAUCUACAAAACAAAAUGCAUACCGAAGGACUCUGUGACAUUAUCUCCUCAAAAAUAGCAUAGGUAGGAGAGAGAGAUCAGUUGAUGCCAUGAAAUGAUGGCAAGACAGCAAUGAGUGGAUCUCCAUACCCAACAGCAUCUGUUACAACACGGUUGAAACAAAGACAGAGCUCAAUGAAAAUCAACUUUAAUCUGACAUCAUCAUAUGAAGGGAUCUAGACACUAGAACAGAAAUAAAUA